rnacentral:rRNA from 1 species
GACGAACGCUGGCGGCGUGCUUAACACAUGCAAGUCGAACGGAAAGGCCUGCUUUCCCUUGUGGAUUGCGGGUGCUCGAGUGGCGAACGGGUGAGUAACACGUGAGUGAUCUGCCCCCAACUUGGGUAUAAGCCUGGGAAACUGGGUCUAAUUCCCGAUAGGACUGCAGGGUGGUGCCUGUGGUGGAAAACGAUUUUCUAGUGGUUGGGGAUGAGCUCGCGGCCUAUCAGCUUGUUGGUGGGGUAAUGGCCUACCAAGGCGGCGACGGGUAGCCGGCCUGAGAGGGUGGACGGGCACAUUGGGACUGAGAUACGGCCCAGACUCCUACGGGAGGCAGCAGUGGGGAAUAUUGCACAAUGGGCGGAAGCCUGAUGCAGCGACGCCGCGUGGGGGAUGACGGCCUUCGGGUUGUAAACUCCUUUCGACCGCGAGGAAGCCACCUGGUUGGAAGGGUGGUGACGGUAGUGGUAGAAGAAGCACCGGCUAACUACGUG